rnacentral:rRNA from 1 species
GAUGAACGCUGGCGGCGUGCCUAAUACAUGCAAGUCGAACGAGGUGCUUUUGUAGCAAUACGAGAGUAUCCUAGUGGCGAACGGGUGAGUAACGCGUUGGUGACCUGCCCCAAAGUGUGGAAUAACAGUCCGAAAGGAUUGCUAAUACCGCAUGUGGUUAUCGGGCUUAGAAACUGAUAACUAAAGGAGCAAUUCGCUUUGGGAGGGACCUGCGUCCCAUCAGCUAGUU